AGCAGCUUGGCGCAGUGGAAGCGCGGUAUGUCUUGACUCCACCUGCAACUCAUCAACAGAGUACUAACUCAUCACAGCCGGGCUCAUAACCCGGAGGUCACUGGAUCGAAACCAGUAGCUGCUA
rnacentral:tRNA from 2 species